UACGAAGGGGGCUAGCGUUGUUCGGAAUUACUGGGCGUAAAGGGCGCGUAGGCUGUGCUGUAAGUCAGGCGUGAAAGGCCCGGGCUCAACCUGGGAACUGCGCUUGAUACUGCGGCGCUGGAAUGCAGGAGAGGAUGGCGGAAUUCCCAGUGUAGAGGUGAAAUUCGUAGAUAUUGGGAAGAACACCGGUGGCGAAGGCGGGUCUCUGGGCAGUAACUGACGCUGAGGAGCGAAAGCGUGGGGAGCGAACAGG
rnacentral:rRNA from 1 species